AUUGAACGCUGGCGGCAUGCCUUACACAUGCAAGUCGAACGGCAGCACGGGAGCUUGCUCCUGGUGGCGAGUGGCGAACGGGUGAGUAAUACAUCGGAACGUACCCAGUAGUGGGGGAUAACGCACCGAAAGGUGCGCUAAUACCGCAUACGACCUACGGGUGAAAGCGGGGGACCGUAAGGCCUCGCGCUAUUGGAGCGGCCGAGGUCUGAUGAGCUAGUUGGGGGGGUAAAAGCCCACCAAGGCGACGAUCAGUAGCUGGUCUGAGAGGACGAUCAGCCACACUGGGACUGAAACACGGCCCAGACUCCUACGGGAGGCAGCAGUGGGGAAUUUUGGACAAUGGGGGCAACCCUGAUCCAGCAAUGCCGCGUGUGCGAAGAAGGCCUUCGGGUUGUAAAGCACUUUUGUCAGGGAAGAAAUCUUUCAGGCUAAUACCCUUGGAAGGAUGACGGUACCUGAAGAAUAAGCACCGGCUAACUACGUGCCAGCCGCCGCCGUAA
rnacentral:rRNA from 1 species